GGUAUGGGGUCUGCGAGUACCCCACGAGGCGCCAUGCCGAAAUUCGCGUCCUUCAUAUGGCUAUAACAUAUGUUUCCUAGAGGACACGGAUCAUG
rfam:Rhizobium sp. LC145 LC145_contig16, whole genome shotgun sequence.